rnacentral:rRNA from 1 species
UACAGAGGGGGCAAGCGUUGUUCGGAAUUACUGGGCGUAAAGGGCGCGUAGGCGGCCUGCUAAGUCGAACGUGAAAUCCCUGGGCUCAACCCAGGAACUGCGUCCGAUACUGGUUGGCUUGAAUCCGGGAGAGGGACGUGGAAUUCCAGGUGUAGCGGUGAAAUGCGUAGAUAUCUGGAGGAACACCGGUGGCGAAGGCGACGUCCUGGGCCGGCAUUGACGCUGAGGCGCGAAAGCCAGGGGAGCAAACGGG